CUCGAAUUUAAAAGAGCUAGAAUUAUAUUAUUUUAUUGUAGAAUAAAUAUUUAAAAUAUAAUUUUAGUAAUGAAACGUUAUUCGUUUUUAAAUAUAUCUAGUUGUUUAAGAAAUAAAUUUAAUUUAGAAGAUUAUAAAUAAAAAAUUUUAUUGUUAAUUUUUUGUUAAUAAUUUUUAAUUUUUAUGGGGAUAAGCUUAUAAAAAAAUAUUUAUAAAUCAUUAUAGGGGGAAAAAUUAUAGGAUUAGAAAUGUCUAUUAAUAAAAUAGUGUUAUAAUUUAUUUUUGGGGGAAAAUAAUUUAUAAUAAUUUUAAAUAUUUUAUUAAACUGAGUAUUUUAAUGUUAAAAAUUUUGUAAUAAUGAUAAAAUUAGUAAUUAAAUUUUGUUAAAAUUAUAGGAAUAUAAGAUAAAAUGAAGGAAUUCGGCAAAUAGAUUUUUCACCUGUUUAUUAAAAACAUGGCCUUUUGUUAAUAAUUUAAGGUCUAGCCUGCCCACUGAGUAGUUAAAUGGCCGCGGUAUUUUGACCGUGCUAAGGUAGCAUAAUCAUUAGUUUUUUAAUUGAAAGCUGGAAUGAAUGGUUGGAUGAGAAAAUGACUGUCUCUAUUUUAAUAAAUUGAAUUUUAUUUUUAAGUUAAAAAGCUUAAAUAAUUUUAAAAGACGAGAAGACCCUAUAGAGUUUUAUAAAAAUUAGUUUAGGUUUCUUUUAGAAUUAUAAAAUUUUAUAUUAAUUUUUAUUUGAUUGGGGUGAUUGAAAAAUUAAAUAAACUUUUUUUUUAUUAAUACAUUGAUUAGUGAUUUAUUGAUCCAUAAUUUGUGAUUAUAAGAUUAAAUUACCUUAGGGAUAACAGCGUUAUUAUUAUUGAGAGUUCAAAUCGAAAUAAUAGUUUGCGACCUCGAUGUUGGAUUAAAAUUUAUUUUUGGUGCAGAAGCUAAAAUAUUAAGUCUGUUCGACUUUUAAAAUUUUACAUGAUCUGAGUUUAAACCGGUGUGAGCCAGGUUGGUUUCUAUCUUUAAAAAUUUAAGGUGUCUCAGUACGAAAGGACCAAAUA
rnacentral:rRNA from 1 species